GCUAUUUAAAGGAGAAGGUACCUUUAUAGUUUCCCUAAUAUUCCUAAUUAAAAUGGUUAAUUGCAAGGUUUCGAGUACUAUCAGUACCAUUGUAUUUUACUUGAUUGUAUUUAUGAUCCUUGCAGAGGAUCAUGUAAUUUCUAUCCGAGAAAUAUCCAACCACAACAAAUUAUCUGCUUUCCGAGAAAUCACCGGAGUUGUUGAUGAUCAUCACCAGUACUACGAAGAGAAGAUUGUAAAUCAUGGCAUGAUAAGUAUCUGGAGGAGUUUAAAAGGGCACGGCUCACCUGACGAUGGGAUGGGAAACACUCCAGCUGGUGGCAUAUAGAUGCAGGAAGAAGCUGCAUGGUUUCAUUUUCAUCUACAAAACUGAUCUGUUCCAUUUAUUUUGAUGCAUAUACAAUCAAGAAAAUUCAAUGUAUUUAGAAUUUUGAAAGAUUGUAUGUACGUACCUUUCUUAAGCAAUGAUUCCUGCAUUAUGGGGUUCC